rnacentral:rRNA from 1 species
UACAGAGGUCCCAAGCGUUGUUCGGAUUCACUGGGCGUAAAGGGUGCGUAGGCGGCUUGAUAAGUCUGAUGUGAAAUCCCGCAGCUUAACUGCGGAACUGCAUUGGAAACUAUUUGACUAGAGGAAUGGAGGGGAGACUGGAAUACUUGGUGUAGCAGUGAAAUGCGUAGAUAUCAAGUGGAACACCAGUGGCGAAGGCGAGUCUCUGGACAGUUCCUGACGCUGAGGCACGAAGGCCAGGGGAGCAAACGGG